UAUGGCUCCAUCUGGUGCACAACACCCCAAAAUACUUUUAAUGUUAUAUAUUGUAUAUUGCUCCAUUUGCAGCAGCCAGGUAUGGAAGCAAAGAAAGGCUGUAAGGAGCACCCGAGUACCUAUUCGUAAAAUAUAAUCACUGAUGAAAACUUUAUGUUGUGAUUUAAAUACAGCUGAAUUUACAGCAUUCACGAAUCUAUCCAAAUUUAUCUGCUUUGCCUUCCCCGCUUUCAGAAUUUCUCCCCAAACGUUUUUAGAAAAUCAAAUAAGUAAAAUAUGACAAACCUCUUUCUUCUUUCUCCUGUAAAUGUUUAAUCAGAGCUACCCUUAAAAAUCUAAUAAUCCAGUUUUAUUUGAAUUGUGUAAAUAUAAACAGAAAAAGGAGAAUCUGUUUCUGUGUUCUGUUUAUAAAACAAACAGUAAAAACCUAAACUGACCAUCCUCCUAAAUGUUACACACUGGACCUUUAAGUAUUCAGUUUCU